rnacentral:rRNA from 1 species
AUUGAACGCUGGCGGCAUGCUUUACACAUGCAAGUCGAACGGCAGCACGGGGGCAACCCUGGUGGCGAGUGGCGAACGGGUGAGUAACACAUCGGAACGUGUCCUGUUGUGGGGGAUAACCAGUCGAAAGACGGGCUAAUACCGCAUGAGCCGGAGACAGGAAAGCGGGGGACUCGUAAGGGCCUCGUGCGAUUGGAGCGGCCGAUGUCCGAUUAGCUAGUUGGUGAGGUAAAGGCUCACCAAGGCAACGAUCGGUAGCUGGUCUGAGAGGAUGAUCAGCCACACUGGGACUGAGACACGGCCCAGACUCCUACGGGAGGCAGCAGUGGGGAAUUUUGGACAAGUGGGGCAACCCUGAUCCAGCCAUGCCGCGUGAGUGAAGAAGGCCGUUCGGUUGGUAAGUAC